rnacentral:rRNA from 1 species
ACGAACGCCGGCGGCAGGCCUAACACAUGCAAGUCGAGCGGACCCUUCGGGGUUAGCGGCGGACGGGUGAGUAACGCGUGGGAAUAUGCCCUUCUCUACGGAAUAGUCCUGGGAAACUGGGGGUAAUACCGUAUACGCCCUUUGGGGGAAAGAUUUAUCGGGGAAGGAUUAGCCCGCGUUGGAUUAGGUAGUUGGUGGGGUAAUGGCCUACCAAGCCGACGAUCCAUAGCUGGUUUGAGAGGAUGAUCAGCCACACUGGGACUGAGACACGGCCCAGACUCCUACGGGAGGCAGCAGUGGGGAAUCUUAGACAAUGGGGGCAACCCUGAUCUAGCCAUGCCGCGUGAGUGAUGAAGGCCUUAGGGUUGUAAAGCUCUUUCAGCUGGGAAGAUAAUGACGGUACCAGCAGAAGAAGCCCCGGCUAACUCCGU